rnacentral:rRNA from 1 species
CCCUUAGAUGUCCUGGGCCGCACGCGCGCUACACUGAUGCAUGCAACGAGUUUAUAACCUUGGCCUGAAAGGUCUGGGUAAUCUUUUGAACGUGCAUCGUGAUAGGGAUAGAUUAUUGCAAUUUUUAAUCUUGAACGAGGAAUUCCUAGUAAACGCGAGUCAUCAGCUCGCAUUGAUUACGUCCCUGCCCUUUGUACACACCGCCCGUCGCACCUACCGAUUGAAUGGUUCGGUGAAGAUCUCGGACUUCGAUAUUUAUUCUUUAUUGAGUUUAUAUUGUGGGAAGUUAUCUAAACCUCAUCAUUUAGAGGAAGGUGAAGUCGUAACA